CUUUCACUUUCUUACCCUCUUGUCUUACCCCCAGACCCUAGUUUACCCUAACAUCCUUACUCCUUAGUUCCUUACUGAGAAACCUAACAACUCCUUGUUGAGAAACUCAGAGAAGUGAGAACUGAGGUCGGCUGUCCGUUGUCGCCUGUGAGAUCACCAGAUCAGUUGUGGCAUGUGACAACUGAGAUCGGCUGUCAACUCUUCAAAUCAAGACUUCAACGAUGAAAGUAGAGUAAGUGAUGCUGGUUCAAGUGAAAGUUUACCUAUUACUGAAGAUAGCAACACCAAUACUAUUAAUACUCAAGAUUCUAAGAAAAGGAAAGUCAUGCAACCUAGAUCCGACGUUUGGAAUUAUUUUGAUAAAUUUGAGGUAAAUGGGGUUGGUAAAGCAAGGUGUAGAUAUUGUAAGCAAGUUUAUGUUGCUAAUUCAUCUAGGAAUGGAACAACAUGAUUGAAGACUCAUUUGACUAGAUACAAAGAAUACCCACUUAACAUUGAUAAAGAUAAAAGUCAAACAAAAAUAAAUUUUCAAUCUUGCCAAAAUAAUGGAGGAUCACUUUGUAAAUUUGAUCAAGAAGUGGUUAGGAGGGCCUUAAUUGAGAUGAUAGUUAUUGAUUAACUACCAUUUAGCUUUGUAGAAAAUGAAGGCUUUAUGAAGUUUAUGAGAAAAAUUCAACCACUAUUUCGUCUUCCUUCUCGUAGAACAAUAACAAGGGAUUGUUAUGAAGUUUACGGUGAAUUGAAGCAAAAUCUAAGAAGGUCUUUUAGAGAAGCACAACCAAAAAUUUGCCUUACAACAGACACAUGGACUUCAUUACAAAGAAUAAAUUAUAUGUGUUUGACAGCCCACUUCAUUGAUAGGGAUUGAAAGUUGCAUAAAAGAAUACUAUAUUUUUGCCCUAUCACUAGUCAUAAGGGUGAAGAGAUGGCUAAAUCUAUUUCUAAUUAUUUGCUUGAAUGGAAAUUAGACAAGGUAUUCACUAUUACCGUGGACAAUGCUUCUUCAAAUGAUGUCAUAGUCAAAGAAUUGUCUAAAUAGUUAGAUGUGUGAAAAACUAAUAUGAUGAGUGGUAAACAUCUUCAUGUGAUAUGCAUGUCUCAUAUACUAAAUCUAAUUGUGCAAGAUGGUUUGAAAGAACUUGAUGCUUCUGUCACACGUGUUAGAAAUAUUGUGAGGUAUGUGAGAUCUUCACUUGCAAGGACCUUAAAGUUUAGACAGUGUUGUGCACAUGUAAAGGUAGAAAGUACCAAAACAUUAUGUUUGGAUGUUACUACUAGGUGGAAUUCCACCUAUUUGAUAUUGGAUAUGGCACAAAACUUUGAAAAGGCCUUUGACAAGUUUCAUUUUUUUGAUGAUGGAUUUUCUGCUUAUCAAUGUUAUCAUCUUUGUGAAGAUGGUAGUAGUGCAGGUCCUCUUGAUUCUGAUGAUUGGGUGAAUGUGAGGAAUGUGAUAGAGUUUCUUGCAAGAUUUCACAAGCUAACUAAAAAAGUUUCAGGUUCACAUUAUGUCUCUUGUAAUUCUCACUUUGGGGAUGUAUCUGAACUUUAUUGUCAUUUAAAAAUGUGUUUAGUUAGUGAGGAUGAGCAUUUGAGAAAAAUGGUUGAGCAAAUGCAAGAAAAGUUUAAGAAGUAUUGGGGUGAGCCUGAAAAGAUGAAUAAAAUAAUUUUUAUUGCUUCCGUCUUGGAUCCAUGUAACAAAUUUGAAUAUGUAAAGGGAACACUUGAAGACCUUUUUGGGGAGUAAAAGGGGAAGAAAAUAAAUGGUGAGGUGCAUGCUUAUAUGAAUUCUUUGUUUGGAAAGUAUCUAAAAAUGUAUUCAACUGGAUCUUUCUCAUUCUCCAUCUAGUUCUACUUCAUCUAAUACAUCUAGUGGGAGUGUUAUAACUGCAUCAUUAAUAAGGACGAAGCUUCACUUGAAGAAACAAAAGCAAGACAAUGGAAGUGAGGGUACUAAAUCGGAGUUGGAUAAAUACAUUAGUGAAGAACAAGAGCCUUUUAGAGAAGAAUUUGAUAUCUUAAGUUGGUGGAAAACACAUGCUCCUAGAUUCCUAUUCUUUCGGAGUUGGCUCAUGAUGCGUUGGUCAUUCAAAUUUCUAGUGUGGCAUCGGAAUAUGUGUUUAGCAUUGGUAGUCGUAUUCUUGAUUCAUUUAGGAAUUUAUUGACUCCUAAAUGUGUGCAAGCUCUUGUUUGUGUUCAAUAUUGGCUUAGAGAAGAGAAGAAUCCUAUAAGUGUUGAAGAAGACUUGAAGUAUCUUGAGGAACUCGAGCUUGAUAUGGAAAUAAUGGAAGCCCUACUAGCAUUGUUUGAACUUUGAUGUAUAGUUGCAACUUGCGAAAUGAGUGGUUCAACUACAAUCAUGCCCCGUGCUUCUAAAGUACGCUCUCAUAUUUGGGAACACUUUGAGGUGAAAGAAGAUAACAGAGAAGUUCGCAAAGUAGAGUGCAAGCAUUUUGAUCGAGUCUAUAAUGUUCAUCCAAAGAGGGAUGGAACAUUUGGCUUAAGGAAUCAUAUUACGCUUUGUCUUGAGCGUCUUCCUGGAAUCUGUAUUCAAGAAUUAAGACUAAGUUGAUUCGAGACUAUUAGUGUAAACUUGAAUUGAGGGAUGGCCUCUCUGUUUUUCUGUUGAAGUUUGUUUAAUUCUGCUACUAUUGUGUUAGAGACUUAGGGUCUGCUGUUAGAGUCUGAUGCCCUCUUUGUUUAUGCUAUUGUCUUUAAUGUUGUGUUUAUGUUAUAGACUUAAAUGUUUGUGGAUGGCCUUUUUUCGAAGAAUGUUGGUUGUUCAGGUA